rnacentral:rRNA from 1 species
GACGAACGCUGGCGGCGUGCUUAACACAUGCAAGUCGAACGGAAAGGCCCUGCUUUUGUGGGGUGCUCGAGUGGCGAACGGGUGAGUAACACGUGAGUAACCUGCCCUUGACUUUGGGAUAACUUCAGGAAACUGGGGCUAAUACCGGAUAGGAGCUCCUGCUGCAUGGUGGGGGUUGGAAAGUUUCGGCGGUUGGGGAUGGACUCGCGGCUUAUCAGCUUGUUGGUGGGGUAGUGGCUUACCAAGGCUUUGACGGGUAGCCGGCCUGAGAGGGUGACCGGCGACAUGGGGACUGAGAUACGGCGCAGAAUCCUACGGGAGGCAGCAGUGGGGAAUAUUGCGCAAUGGGGGGAAGCCUGAUGCAGCGACGCCGCGUGCGGGAUGACGGCCUUCGGGUUGUAAACCGCUUUCGCCGGUGACGAAGCGUGAGUGACGGUAAUGGGUAAGGAAGCACCGGCUAACUACGUG